CCUCCUAUAAUGGUGCUAGGGGAUGAGAUUACCUGGUGUGUAUUCAGCUGGGACUCAUACAAACAUGCAUAUACACACAUGCACACAUAUGUACAAAUAAAAAUAAGUAUUUA
rnacentral:miRNA from 1 species